rnacentral:rRNA from 1 species
UACUUAGUGGCGGACGGGUGAGUAACGCGUGGGUAACCUGCCUUACACUGGGGGAGUAACACUUAGAAAUAGGUGCUAAUACCGCAUAAGCGCACGAAGCCGCAUGGAUUUGUGUGAAAAACUACCGGUGGUGUAAGAUGGACCCGCGUCUGAUUAGCUUGUUGGCGGGGUAACGGCCCGCCAAGGCGACGAUCAGUAGCCGGCCUGAGAGGGUGGACGGCCACAUUGGGACUGAGACACGGCCCAAACUCCUACGGGAGGCAGCAG